UCAAGCGAACAAGGGCGCAGGGCGAAUGCCUUGGCACUGGGAGCCGAUGAAAGACGUGAUAAGCUGCGAUAAGCUUCGGGGAGCUGCAAAUAAGCAUUGAUCCGGAGAUUUCUGAAUGAGGAAACUCACCUGGGUUCAUACUCAGGUACGUUAUACUGAACUUAAAAAUAGGUAUAUCGAGGGAACCGCCUGAACUGAAACAUCUAAGUAGGGCGAGGAAGAGACAUCAAACGAGAUUCCGUAAGUAGUGGCGAGCGAACGCGGAAGAGGGCAAACCGGAAGUAGAAAUACUUCCGGGGUACGGACCGCAUUUAGGACUUAAGUUGUUAACCGAACGGCAUGGGAAGGCCGGUCAGAGAGUGUGAGAACCACGUAGGUGAAAACGACAAGAGCUGAGCGAGUUCCAGAGUACGGCCAGACACGUGAAACCUGGUCGGAAUACGGGGGGACCACCCUCCAACCCUAAAUACUACCCAGUGACCGAUAGCGUAUAGUACUGUGAAGGAAAGGUGAAAAGCACCCCGGGAGGGGAGUGAAAAAGAACCUGAAACCCUGUGCCUACAAGCACCUAGAGCACGUCAAAGUGUGAUAGGGUACUUUUUGUAGAACGGUCCGGCGAGCGAUUGUAUGCAGCAAGGUUAAGGACUUAAGGUCUGGAGCCGAAGCGAAAGCGAGUUUGAAAAGGGCGUUAAGUUGCAUACAAUGGGCCCGAAACCGGGUGACCUACCCAUGGUCAGGUUGAAGUGGAAGUAAAAUUCCAUGGAGGACCGAACCGACCUCCGUUGAAAAGGCGGCGGAUGAACUGUGGGUAGCGGAGAAAUUCCAAUCGAACCCGGAGAUAGCUGGUUCUCCCCGAAAUAGUUUUAGGACUAGCCUCAAGUUAGAUACCUGGAGGUAAAGCACUGAAUAGCCUAGCGGCCGAGAGGUUAGCGAAGCUUAUCAAACUCAGAAUGCCAGAGUAUUGAUGCUUGGGAGUCAGACAGUGUCAGAUAAAUGUCAUUGUCAAAAGGGAAACAGCCCAGAUCUACAGCUAAGGUCCCAAAGUCAGGUUAAGUGGAAAACGAUGUGAAGAUACGUAGACAACCAGGAUGUUGGCUCAGAAGCAGCCACACAUUCAAAGAGUGCGUAAUAGCUCACUGGUCGAGCGUCUUUGCGCGGAGAAUUUAACGGGGCUAAACCUGACACCGAAGCUUAGGCAAUACAGCAAUGUAUUGGGUAGGGGAGCGUUGUAUACGCGGUGAAACAGUAGCGCAAGCGGCUGUGGAGUGUAUAGAAGUGAGAAUGCCGGAAUGAGUAGCGCGAAUGCAGUGAGAAUCUGCAUGGCCGAAAGCCUCAGGUUUCUGGAGGAAGGUUCGUCCGCUCCAGGUUAGUCGGGAGCUAAGGUGAGGCCUAACGGCGUAGCCGAUGCACAGACGGUAGAGAUUCCGUCACCACCAAAAGAGUUAAGCACAGGGACACAUUUGAAGUCUCGGAGCCGGGUGUUGGUUCCGGUAGCGAUCGAGGGAAGUUAGUACCGAAGUCCGGGAUGGAAGAUGGCGAGAAAAGCUGUGUGUAUUUCUGCGGUGCCCGUACCGCAAACCGACACAGGUAGGUAGGAAGAAGAUUCUAAGGCCAACGGGAGAAGGGUUGUUAAGGAACUCGGCAAAUUGACCCCGUAACUUCGGGAGAAGGGGUGCUCCAGAGAUGGAGCCGCAGAGAAUCGGCCCAAGCAACUGUUUACCAAAAACACAGGUUUGUGCUAAAUCGAAAGAUGACGUAUACGAGCUGACGCCUGCCCGGUGCUGGAAGGUUAAGAGGAGAUGUGCAAGCAUUGAAUCGAAGCCCCAGUGAACGGCGGCCGUAACUAUAACGGUCCUAAGGUAGCGAAAUUCCUUGUCAGGUAAG
rnacentral:rRNA from 1 species